UACGUAGGGUGCGAGCGUUAAUCGGAAUUACUGGGCGUAAAGCGUGCGCAGGCGGCUUUGCAAGACAGAUGUGAAAGCCCCGGGCUCAACCUGGGAACUGCAUUUGUGACUGCAAGGCUAGAGUACGGCAGAGGGGGAUGGAAUUCCGCGUGUAGCAGUGAAAUGCGUAGAUAUGCGGAGGAACACCAAUGGCGAAGGCAAUCCCCUGGGCCUGUACUGACGCUCAUGCACGAAAGCGUGGGGAGCAAACAGG
rnacentral:rRNA from 1 species